UGUUCUGUGGGUUAGUUGGUUACAGCGCCGUUCUGGCGCACACGGAGUCGUGGGUUCGAUUUCCAUCAGAACAC
rnacentral:tRNA from 1 species